UCAAAUCAGGUAGGACUACCCGCUG
rnacentral:rRNA from 1 species